rnacentral:ncRNA from 20 species
UACAAGAUGUAGUUUCUGGCUUUGGUGUCAGGGGAAGUGCGGUGCAAUUCCGCCGCUGUCGCGCAACGGUGAAAGCCCGAAUGCCUGCCCAGGGCCUACCUCGAGUC